CCUACGGGAGGCAGCAGUGAGGAAUAUUGGUCAAUGGACGAGAGUCUGAACCAGCCAAGUAGCGUGAAGGAUGACUGCCCUAUGGGUUGUAAACUUCUUUUUUAUGGGAAUAAAACAGGGUAUGCAUACCCCCUUGUAUGUACCAUAUGAAUAAGGAUCGGCUAACUCCGUGCCAGCAGACGCGGUAACAUGGAGGAUCCGAGCGUUAUCCGGAUUUAUUUGGUUUAAAGGGAGCGUAGGUGGAUUGUCAAGUCAGUUGUGAAAGGUUGGGGUGCAACCGUAAGAUUGCAGUUGAAACUGGCAGGCUAGAGUACAGUAGAGGUGGGCGGAAUUCGUGGUGUAGCGGUGAAAUGCUUAGAUAUCACGAAGAACUCCGAUUGCGAAGGCAGCUCACUGGACUGCAACUGACACUGAUGCUCGAAAGUGUGGGUAUCAAACAGGAUUAGAUACCCCAGUAGUC
rnacentral:rRNA from 1 species